UACGAAGGGGGCUAGCGUUGCUCGGAAUCACUGGGCGUAAAGCGCACGUAGGCGGCUUUUUAAGUCAGAGGUGAAAUCCUGGAGCUCAACUCCAGAACUGCCUUUGAUACUGGAGAGCUUGAGUCCGGGAGAGGUGAGUGGAACUGCGAGUGUAGAGGUGAAAUUCGUAGAUAUUCGCAAGAACACCAGUGGCGAAGGCGGCUCACUGGCCCGGUACUGACGCUGAGGUGCGAAAGCGUGGGGAGCAAACAGU
rnacentral:rRNA from 1 species